CCGAGGAAGGUCAGGUAAUUAAAAUCGACAGCUAUCAUUAUUGUAUUCAUUAUUGUAUUCAGGCGGUUUAAUCUUUGCUUGAGGAAGGAAGAUCAGGGAACCUUAUCUCGCUUGUGAGAUAAAAAUAAGGAUACCUGAAAACGAUUCGGAGAACAUUUAUGUCCUCUCAUGCCCCUUCUUAUUAAUUUUAACUUUUGAGAUCCCUUAUCUCCAACGAGAUCUACGACGUAGAAACUAGCAAGAGUGGUAAUCUUUGUUCUAGAUAAGACGAACAUUGUUCAACCGGGUUCCUCGUGUGUAUAUAAACCGAGAGAGAAACCACAAGUGUCAGUUCACAGACGCCAAGAGCAGAAGAAGAACAACCCUAAGUUCGUCUUGAAAACCAGGAGAAGAAGCACUACAACAACAACAAGGCUACUCUAGCAGAAAGUUCUAAAACAAGAGAAAGAGAAACAACACAGUAUCGUAUCAAAAUGGUGCAACAAUUUGUACAAGAAAACGAUCAACUCAUGAAUAAGACUUAUCUCGAACCAAAUGACGUCAGGACCCGGUGUCGUUCCAGUGACAGCACGAGCAGCGAAGUCAGCAUCAGCAGCGUCAGCAGCGUCGACAGCCAGGCGUCAGCGGACUCCUGUUCGAAGCGUAACAAACCCAAGAAGAGUUUAACCGAGAGGAUUUUCAAAAAACACGAAAAGAAGAACAUUUUGAUGACCAACACUUUGCUCUCCUACAUGUCGGUGGACUCUUGAAGACAAUUUUAUAAUAUAUAUAUCAUUAGGAAUUAAUUUUGUAUUUAUUAUAGACUGAAUAUACUCGAUUAUAAGUUUAUAUAGUCAUUUUUACACUAUUCAUUCUGUCAUCUACCCAAUAUUCGCUGUAUCACGCAUUUAUAACAAAGCUUUAAGUGUAUAAGCCUAAGCUCUACUUUAUCGGCCUACAUUGUUCAUAAGCCCAAUCAUUUAUAAUCAUAUUAGAAAUAAGUUACUUAAUGCAUAUAAUUAUUAAAUAAUGUAAUAAGUAA